AUUCCUAUGUAUGUUAAUUUGCUUUGAGGAUUGCAUCAUCUCAAAGGAAGUAUAGCCAAAGAGAUUUAAAACAAAAGUGGUCUGUCUCCAGGUUGAGCUGUGAUACUUGGCAGUAAUACUGCUCUCCACUGAGUCCAAUGUGCUGCUUUAACAUAAUGCUCUCCUUCCCAUUGUGUCAUGCUGGAAGGAUGGCAUUUCUUGUCUCCCGAUCCCUAAAAGAUACUAGAUGAGAUAUUUAAGCUACCAAUGUCCUUGAAUGAGGUUAUUAGUCCAUGUAGAACCUUGUACUGUGAGCAUUAUGAGGAUUUUGGGGGGACUGUUCAGGAAGCAAAAUGCUGAAAUGAAACCUCUCAUUACUGAAGUAAGUGUCGUGGAAACCUACUUACAACUUGGUUGUAGGACACGCAUAUUUAUCCCUAUUACUGUCCCAGCAUUUUAUCAACUAGUGUCUUAUGUUGAAUUGAGAGAGUGGGAUGCUCGGGAUGAGAAAGGAUUUCUUUGCCCAUCUCCAGGUUUCACACCAUGAACACAAUGCUAAGACACUAAAUUUCAUGCCCCAAAGCUGACGGAUGUCCCUUGCUGCCUGAAAGGGACAUUUCUGUGUAUUGUCCAUGACAAUUUUUGGAUAAACACCACUGAUGAGUUCCUGCCCACUGCUGAAUUUCCUGAGAGAGCUGUGCUGAAGCAGUUACUGUGAGGACUCUGACUGUGGAUGCUCUUACUAACCUACAUGCAGCCCUGUGCCAAGGUGACUACUAUAUGAUCCCUGGAAAAGAGCUGGCCUGUAGGG
rnacentral:lncRNA from 1 species